UAACGCAUUAAGCACUCCGCCUGGGGAGUACGGUCGCAAGACUGAAACUCAAAGGAAUUGACGGGGGCCCGCACAAGCGGUGGAGCAUGUGGUUUAAUUCGAAGCAACGCGAAGAACCUUACCAGGUCUUGACAUCCUCUGACAACUCUAGAGAUAGAGCGUUCCCCUUCGGGGGACAGAGUGACAGGUGGUGCAUGGUUGUCGUCAGCUCGUGUCGUGAGAUGUUGGGUUAAGUCCCGCAACGAGCGCAACCCUUGAUCUUAGUUGCCAGCAUUAAGUUGGGCACUCUAAGGUGACUGCCGGUGACAAACCGGAGGAAGGUGGGGAUGACGUCAAAUCAUCAUGCCCCUUAUGACCUGGGCUACACACGUGCUACAAUGGAUGGUACAAAGGGCUGCAAGACCGCGAGGUCAAGCCAAUCCCAUAAAACCAUUCUCAGUUCGGAUUGUAGGCUGCAACUCGCCUACAUGAAGCUGGAAUCGCUAGUAAUCGCGGAUCAG
rnacentral:rRNA from 1 species